UACAGAGGUCCCAAGCGUUGUUCGGAUUCACUGGGCGUAAAGGGUGCGUAGGCGGUUGGAUAAGUCUGAUGUGAAAUCUUCGAGCUCAACUCGGAAACUGCAUCGGAAACUAUCCGGCUAGAGGAUUGGAGGGGAGACUGGAAUUCUCGGUGUAGCAGUGAAAUGCGUAGAUAUCGAGAGGAACACCAGUGGCGAAGGCGAGUCUCUGGACAAUUCCUGACGCUGAGGCACGAAAGCUAGGGGAGCAAACAGG
rnacentral:rRNA from 1 species